GGUGUUGAGUAUGACCGUUGGAGUUUGGAUUGAGGGGCUGAAAUAGCAACACGGGUGUCGACAGAAUGACAGAAAGUGCUAAAGACUACAGGGACCCCGUUCAAUCGAGGCUAUCCUGUAACGCAACCCAGUACACCAACUCCCCAUCAGACCAGUCGUCCAAGCGGAGAUUCCCUUAUCACGUAGUACCGUAGCAGCAUGUACCUUGACGACAUUGAAGAAAAACACACACCAAUGAGACCAUGAAGGACAAGUCUCAAGAUGAA